rnacentral:rRNA from 1 species
UACGUAGGGAGCAAGCGUUGUUCGGAUUUACUGGGCGUAAAGGGCGCGUAGGCGGCAUAUUAAGUCAUCUGUGAAAUCUCCGAGCUUAACUCGGAACUGUCAGCUGAUACUGAUGUGCUAGAGUGCGGAAGGGGCAAUCGGAAUUCUUGGUGUAGCGGUGAAAUGCGUAGAUAUCAAGAGGAACACCUGAGGUGAAGACGGGUUGCUGGGCCGACACUGACGCUGAGUGCGCGAAAAGCCAGGGGGAAGAACGGAACUG